rnacentral:rRNA from 1 species
GAUGAACGCUGGCGGCGUGCUUAACACAUGCAAGUCGAACGGAAAGGCUCCUGCUUGCAGGGGUACUCGAGUGGCGAAUGGGUGAGUAACACGUGGGUGAUCUGCCCUGCACUUCGGGAUAAGCCUGGGAAACUGGGUCUAAUACCGGAUAGGACGAUGGUUUGGAUGCCAUUGUGGAAAGUUUUUCGGUGUGGGAUGAGCUCGCGGCCUAUCAGCUUGUUGGUGGGGUAAUGGCCUACCAAGGCGUCGACGGGUAGCCGGCCUGAGAGGGUGUACGGCCACAUUGGGACUGAGAUACGGCCCAGACUCCUACGGGAGGCAGCAGUGGGGAAUAUUGCACAAUGGGCGCAAGCCUGAUGCAGCGACGCCGCGUGGGGGAUGACGGCCUUCGGGUUGUAAACUCCUUUCGCUAGGGACGAAGCGUUUUGUGACGGUACCUGGAGAAGAAGCACCGGCUAACUACGUG